UAAUCUGUAAAAUGAAGAUAGCAAUAGGAUCUACCUCCUAGGAUUGUUGUAAGGAUCAAGUGAGAUAAAUGUAAAGUAAUGAUCAUAAAAGCUAGCACAUGAUAAUCAUUUGAUAAAUAUUUCGCUAUGAUUUCUCCCAUUUCUAUCACAUAAUAUUCCUUGAUAGAGACAAAAGCACAGCUGCCUCCUAAGACAAUCCAGAUUAUUGGUAUCCGGUUAGGCAGACAUAUGAUGGAGACCUGCUCCCCAAAGAUGCCUGUCUUUGUUGGAAGAGGUUUACUGAAAUCUUCCUGCAUCUUCAGAUGAGUUACUUGCUGUGUCUCAAUGCCUCAAACACGACAAAGCCUCCUCAAGGAGACCCGUAAGGACCCCCAGAAGUCAGACACCAGCUCCCCUGUUCAGUCCUCCAUCCACAAGAAUCAAACCCAGGAGGAGAGCUGGCUCAUAGACCUUGUUUACCAGUACACGGAUCAAUCUAGGGCAGCAACAAGAGGUGAAGAAAGGAUAAGCUGGGCCCAGGAUUUGUUAGGAGGUAACUACUGAGCUCGACUGUCUUUGGGAAACCAACAACACUUAGCCCUCCCCAAGCCUGUCCAUAAAAUACAAUUUCACCUUCUUCAAAUGUAAUUCCGGCUUUAUUGCUCUCGCUGUGAAUUAUGGGUUGCCACAGUGUUCACAGAAAUCUCACGCCAAUAUCACCUACCUAACGAGAGACCCAUGGUGGGACCCAAGUACACAAAGCGGCAUAAAGCUCUGUCCCCCAAGAGAAGAAAGGCUCUACGAGGAGACGGGCUAGUCACGGAGAUAAAAGACCACCGACGUGCCCCACUGGAGGGAGGGGACUAGCCUCCUGUAAGGGCUUCCUAUUAAAGGAGAUGUGGGCAAGAGACACACAGGAUGGGAGAGGGACGGACAGGCUAGUACAUGGUAAGUACUUCACAAAUGUGUGCUGCUUGACUGAUAGGAACCCUCUGAAGUAGUAACAGUAUCAGCGUGCAGGACUUUGCUCCAGCAAGUAGCAACUUGUAACCAGCAUCAGAAUAUCCCACAAAUAAUUGCUUGGCUUUUACUUGGCUACUGUAAUUCCCAUCGUGGAUCCGUACUACCUUCAAUGUAGGAAACAACUGAAAUGGUUUCCGAAGCCUGCCAAAUGUCUAUUACAUGAAAGUCACAAAGAAACGCACGAACAGCCCUCGCUCUAGAGAUGAUGUUCUAAGAGUGGAGACUGUAUAAAGACAAACCCGAUCGAUGUAUGUAAUCUGAAGAUCCGAGGCUCAGACUUGGAGCUGGAAGGGACCAGAAAGGCCAUGUAGUCCAAUCCAUACACGCUGUAGAAAAGGGCUAAAGAGCUGAGCAUUCUAAGAGGUGAAGGAAUAGCAAAGAGACAUGAGAUGGCUGCUUAAGGGAAUCGCUAGUUGUAUAAGGGAAUAGUUAGCUGAAAUGGAGAUUGGAGAAAAAAGGGAUAAGAGGAAAUAGUCCAGGAGGUCUGUUUAAACCAGACUGUGAAGGGCUGUAACUGUUAAGGCUAAAAAGAAGGCUGUCAAUAUUUUUUCUUAAAGGCAAAAGGGAACUACUUAAGAGUUUGAGUAAGAAAUUCAUAGAAUCAAGCCUGCUCUUUACGGGAUUAUUCUGGCACGUAAGCAGAAGAUGGGUUAGAAGGGAGAUAGGCUAAAAGCAAGGAGACAAUUUAGAAGACUAAAAUAAUAAUUCAGUGAGAGGUGAUGGAUGAGGGCCUUAGUAUGUGUGUAAAUGAAAAUAAAGGGAUGGAAUCAAUAAAUAUCAUGGAGGUUUAAAAAAACACAUUUAGCAACGGAUUGGAUAGACGGGGUAAAAGAAAAAGAAAAAGGGGCUGCUACGUGGCUCAGUGAUAAAAAGCCAGGUUUAAAGAUGGGAGGGCCUGGGUUCAAAUUCAGCCAGCCCUUAGGGAAGUCACUUAACACCAAAUUGCCUAGCUCUUACUACCCUCCUGCCUUAGAACCAAUACUUAGUACUGAUCCAAAGACAAAAUGUAAGAGGUUUUUUUUAAAAGAAAGAAAAGAUGGGAGGUCCUAGGUUCAAAUCUGGCCUCAGACACUUCCCAGCUGGGUGACCCUGGGCAAGUCACCUGACCCCCAUUGCCUACCCUUACCACUCUUCUGCCUUGUAGCCAAUACACAGUAUUGACUCCAAGCAGGAAGGUAAGGGUUUAAAAAAAAAGAAAGAAAAGAAAAAUGAAGAGUCAAUGUUGAAUCCAACACUGAGAAUAAGAAAAUUUAGAGGAGUGGAUUUAGAGAAAACAGUGAGUUCUGAAUAGAGUAUGUUGAGUCUGGGAGUGGAAAUUAGACAUUUUUCUUCCCAGAAUGACAAUGAAAGAAGCAAUCUAAAGAACACUGAAAUGAAUUCUUUACAGUUCUUUUAUAGAGGUUGGAGUAAAAGAAGGGAAGCAGGUUUUCACUUUUAGAAAAGGGUACUGACAAAAAUCUCUUGUCAAAAAUGUGAGGAAAAAACGAAAUGCCACUUUAUAAGGCCAUACAGAAUGGUGCAAUAGGGCGAGGCCUAGGGUCAGAAGCUUAUCACUUAACAUCUCCCCUUGAUGUUUUCUAGAUGUGUGCCCUGAGCGAGUCACUUCACCUCUCCACGUGGUUCUUCCUUUGUAAAACUGGGAAAACAAUACUAAUGCUAUACAUUUCUCCGGGGUGUCGUAGAGAAAGCAUGUUCUUAAAAUUCCCCGAGUACUUUACGGUAUCUUGCUGCAUGAUGCAUGGGACUUUCACAAGGUCGUCAUUUCUCAACGCAUGUACCUUUGAUGGAAAGGAUGGCUCACUGCACAAGUUGGAGAGAUACAUUUGGAAAUGAAAGGGAUGUAAAAAACAAACUAUCAAUAAAAAUAAUAUUUUAAAAGGAAAUAA